GAUGAACGCGGGCGGCGUGCCUAAUACACGCAAGUCGAACGCUGGAGAUCUAGCUUGCUAGAUCGAAGGAGUGGCGAACGGGUGAGUAAUGCAUAAGCAACCUACCCACGAAGACUGGGAUAAUCUCUGGAAACGGGGACUAAUACCGGAUAGGUAAUCGGAAGGCAUCUUCUGGUUAUUAAAGGUUAAAAACACUGGUGGAUGGGCUUAUGGCGCAUUAGUUAGUUGGUGAGGUAACGGCCCACCAAGACGAUGAUGCGUAGCCGGCCUGAGAGGGUGAACGGCCACAUUGGGACUGAGACACGGCCCAGACUCCUACGGGAGGCAGCAGUAGGGAAUUUUCGGCAAUGGGGGCAACCCUGACCGAGCAACGCCGCGUGAGUGAAGACGGCCUUCGGGUUGUAAAGCUCUGUUGUAAGGGAAGAACGGUAGAUAGAGAAUAUCUAAGUGACGGUACCUUACCAGAAAGCCACGGCUAACUACGUGCCAGCAGCCGCGGUAAUACGUAGGUGGCGAGCGUUAUCCGGAAUUAUUGGGCGUAAAGGGUGCGUAGGCGGCCUGUUAAGUAAGUGGUUAAAUUGUUGGGCUCAACCCAAUCCAGCCACUUAAACUGGCAGGCUAGAGUAUUGGAGAGGCAAGUGGAAUUCCAUGUGUAGCGGUAAAAUGCGUAGAUAUAUGGAGGAACACCAGUGGCGAAGGCGGCUUGCUAGCCAAAGACUGACGCUCAUGCACGAAAGCGUGGGGAGCAAAUAGG
rnacentral:rRNA from 1 species